rnacentral:rRNA from 1 species
UGCGUAGGCGGGCUAAUAAGUCAGUGGUGAAAUCUCUCGGUUCAACCGGGAAACUGCCAUUGAUACUGUUAGUCUUGAGUUCGGUUGAGGUAGGCGGAAUGUGUAAUGUAGCGGUGAAAUGCUUAGAUAUUACACAGAACACCAAUUGCGUAGGCAGCUUACUAGACCGACACUGACGCUGAGGCACGAAAGCGUGGGGAGCGAACAGGAUUAGAUACCCUGGUAGUCC